UACGUAGGGUGCGAGCGUUAAUCGGAAUUACUGGGCGUAAAGCGUGCGCAGGCGGUUAUUUAAGUCAGGUGUGAAAGCCCUGGGCUUAACCUAGGAAUUGCGCUUGAGACUGGAUAGCUUGGAGUGCGGCAGAGGGAGGUGGAAUUCCACGUGUAGCAGUGAAAUGCGUAGAGAUGUGGAGGAACACCGAUGGCGAAGGCAGCCUCCUGGGCCAGCACUGACGCUGAGGAGCGAAAGCGUGGGGAGCGAACAGG
rnacentral:rRNA from 1 species